CAGAGAUGCUUUGGUGGCCUUCGGGAACUCUGAGACAGGUGCUGCAUGGCUGUCGUCAGCUCGUGUUGUGAAAUGUUGGGUUAAGUCCCGCAACGAGCGCAACCCUUAUCCUUGUUGCCAGCGGCUCGGCCGGGAACUCAAAGGAGACUGCCGGUGAUAAACCGGAGGAAGGUGGGGAUGACGUCAAGUCAUCAUGGCCCUUACGGCCAGGGCUACACACGUGCUACAAUGGCGCAUACAAAGAGAAGCGACCUCGCGAGAGCAAGCGGACCUCAUAAAGUGCGUCGUAGUCCGGAUUGGAGUCUGCAACUCGACUCCAUGAAGUCGGAAUCGCUAGUAAUCGUAGAUCAGAAUGCUACGGUGAAUACGUUCCCGGGCCUUGUACACACCGCCCGUCACACCAUGGGAGUGGGUUGCAAAAGAAGUAAGUAGCUUAACCUUCGGGAGGGCGCUUACCACUUUGUGAUUCAUGACUGGGGUGAAGUCGUAACAAGGUAAGCGUAGCGAG
rnacentral:rRNA from 1 species